rnacentral:lncRNA from 10 species
UGCUCUCAGCUCAUUCACAUUGAACUUCUCUCGAUUCGACAUAUACCACUCAUUAGGUGAAUAAACAAUAUUCCCUAUACCUAUAGAGUGGAAUACCACCCAGCAUCCUCUCACAUACAAAGAAAGAACAAAUUGCUGAUAGACACAGAUGUCCAUCAAUCUCAAAAGUCGUCAUGAAACCUCUGGAAGAAUUGAGCUGGUCGACUAUGCAAACAGUUGUCAAGAGCCUAUAAAAUAUGCAGCAUAAAAUUUUUCCUUUGUAGUCAAACCUGAUUAUUCCUCUUAGAUACUGGGAACAGAAUUUCACAGUCGUCAGAGAAUAUACCUUUUGUAUUUUCGUAUUAAAUAUGUACUCCUAUUACUUAACAAUUGUAGUUUAACUCCUUUUUUAGGUAAAAUUCUAAUUUUUCUCUUCUGUUAAAAAUUUCCAGUUCCAACACGAAGAUAAUAAAGAAUAUUAAUUUUAUCCUUAUUAACUUGAAGGAAGUAAUAUUUAUUUUUGUAUUUCUGUACUUAAGUAUAUCACAAAUACAGAUUUCUGUAGUUGGAGAAUUAAUAUAAAGUAACAUAGUAUUCAAUAAGAAGGGAUUUUUCUUUAUUAAAAAGAGGUCUGAAUUAUAAACUAAAUAUCUGUGUAACUUUGAACAAUUUAUUUAACUUUUUGAAGAUAUUUGAAACUUAUUUCUAAAAUGAGAAAAAUACCUAUCAUGAGGAGCUUUUGUAAAUACUAAAUGAGAUAUAACAUGUAAAGCAGUUAACAAAAUUCUAGGCAUGGUAUGGGUAUUUAAAUAAAUGGAAAGUAUUCUUAAGUUUUAUAGUAAUAGUUUUACAAAUUUUAUAUGUAAUUCUGAUGAUUAAUGGUUAUUUUAAUAUCUUUUCUACUGUAUAUGCUAGGGAGUAUUUUGGAGUAUCAAAUUUAAAUAUUAGUAAAGCAUGAAAAUUUGAUUUAGUAAUAAGUAGACAAAGCAGAAAAAUGC